rnacentral:rRNA from 1 species
CAGUCGCCGCGGUAAUACAGAGGGUGCGAGCGUUAAUCGGAUUUACUGGGCGUAAAGCGUGCGUAGGCGGCUAAUUGAGUCGGAUGUGAAAUCCCCGAGCUUAACUUGGGAAUUGCAUUCGAUACUGGUUAGCUAGAGUGUGGGAGAGGAUGGUAGAAUUCCAGGUGUAGCGGUGAAAUGCGUAGAGAUCUGGAGGAAUACCGAUGGCGAAGGCAGCCAUCUGGCCUAACACUGACGCUGAGGUGCGAAAGCGUGGGGAGCAAACAGGAUUAGAUACCCCUGUAGUCCCUGUCUCUUAUAC